UUGUGACAGAAUUAAUGUGUUAAAUUUAAAAUUUAAUUAUGAAUCAUUUCCUUUAGAA
rnacentral:tRNA from 1 species